rnacentral:lncRNA from 1 species
CUCAGAUUCCAUGUCCUUCUCCUUAAUCUGGUUCUCUUAUUCAUGAUACCCAAAAUCUGCUGUUUCUUCCCAGCUCCCUGACCUCCCUAUCUCAUGUUAGAUCUGCAGUUUCACCCCUUACCUCUGGAUCCUUGUUUUAUUCCCCUAGAAAGUGUGAGAACAACGUUGGUGCCUACCCUACUGGGAUUCUGUUUAUUUUUCCAUGAGACAUUGCAAGCUCUCCAUAGGUAGCAUGAAAGGUGAUUUGAUUCACCUUGAGGCCUUAGCAGGUAGAUGUUUUAGGAAAUCUGAAGGUGAGAAAAAC